rnacentral:lncRNA from 1 species
UUUCUUCUUUACAAAAGGUUUUGGGCACUGCUAAUGCCCUAAGGACAGCAAGGUGUUGGCAGCCUCUUGCUGUUUUUGGCAAGCCUUCAGCUGUUUAAAUCCAAAGGGUAACCUGCAUUUCCCUAGUGAGGGAAUAACUCCUGUCCACAUGUUGCAACCAUGCUUGGAUACAAAUGCCUCAAGUGUGAGACCCUCAGGGAGGACACAAUUCUGGGGAUAUAUGAGGGCCGCUCUCAAGCAAACCUACACCAGGUCCAUGAAAGAACUGGAAGAAAGGGGCAGAGUAGAAGCCAAAUGGUGCCCAGCAAACUGGUGCAAUGCUUAUGACAGCCAGGAAAGAAUACCUCCUAUCUCCUGGAACAGGCUGCAGCCCACAGACCAUGCAGGAGCUCGCUUUGAACAGGGUGGUUCAGACCCAGCUUUCUAUGGAACUGCUCUCAGCUGGUGCAGCUUAGAGACAGCACAAAGGUGCUGUAACUUCCAGGCUACCAGAGCCUGUUUUCCUCCCCGUGGGGCCGUGUUCCCUGCCUCCCACACGGCUGCGUGUGCAGCAGGACACGGAGACUCCUCAAGUUUAAUCCUGACCUCGUUCACAUGGUCCAUCAAACCCGACAUCUCCUUUGGCCUGUCUGUCCCAUGGGCCCACCAAGGACACCUUUUUCUGUAUUUCCCUGUGUUUCUUUAAUGAUUCGAUGUACAAAUGUUCAACAUUUAUACAGUAUGUCACCUCUACAAAACUACGCUACUAUCCUUUUCAAAAUACAGCACAGGUUAAAGGUUCCGGAAUUGCACAAGGCCUUUAGGCAAGGAGCUGCUGAGCAGCACUGCCAUAUUCCGAAUACGCUGGAGUCUGCGUCAUUGUUUGCUAUUUUAUUAAACCCUCGGCUUGUAAUAGAGGGAAAGAACCACCAGAUACACUGAAUUUGCUGAAUAGGCAAGAAAACCCGAACAACCUUUCUAAGGAACGAGAAGACAUAAAGAUGGCUCUGCUGUUUAACACAGCGGGAUUUUAUGGAGCGGAGGGUGAAGGGCGUGAGGGGAUGGGGGGGCGCGGGCAGGGCGUGAGGCGCUGCUGCUGCUGCUGGCCCCGCCCGCUGCCGCCCCCUGCCGCCCCCUGCCGCCCCCUGCCGCCCCCUGCCGCCCCCUGCCGCCCCCUGCCGCCCGCAGCGCCCCGCCAACCUCCGCAGCGCCCCUGGAC